rnacentral:Y_RNA from 1 species
GGCUGGCCCGAAGCUAGUGAGAUCUCACAAUGAUUGCUUACAGUCAAUUACUGGUCAACCUAAUUGUCUACCCCACCUCACCACUACACUUGACUGGUCUUUA